rnacentral:rRNA from 1 species
GGGGGACCAUCCUCCAAGGCUAAAUACUCCUGACUGACCGAUAGUGAACCAGUACCGUGAGGGAAAGGCGAAAAGAACCCCGGCGAGGGGAGUGAAAAAGAACCUGAAACCGUGUACGUACAAGCAGUGGGAGCACCUUCGGGUGUGACUGCGUACCUUUUGUAUAAUGGGUCAGCGACUUAUAUUCUGUAGCAAGGUUAACCGUAUAGGGGAGCCGCAGGGAAACCGAGUCUUAACUGGGCGUUAAGUUGCAGGGUAUAGACCCGAAACCCGGUGAUCUAGCCAUGGGCAGGUUGAAGGUUGGGUAACACUAACUGGAGGACCGAACCGACUAAUGUUGAAAAAUUAGCGGAUGACUUGUGGCUGGGGGUGAAAGGCCAAUCAAACCGGGAGAUAGCUGGUUCUCCCCGAAAGCU